UACGUAGGGCGCAAGCGUUGUCCGGAAUUAUUGGGCGUAAAGAGCUCGUAGGCGGUUUGUCGCGUCUGCCGUGAAAACCCGAGGCUUAACCUCGUGGCUUGCGGUGGAUACGGGCAGACUAGAGGUAGGUAGGGGAGAUCGGAAUUCCUGGUGUAGCGGUGAAAUGCGCAGAUAUCAGGAGGAACACCGGUGGCGAAGGCGGAUCUCUGGGCCAUUACUGACGCUGAGGAGCGAAAGCGUGGGGAGCGAACAGG
rnacentral:rRNA from 1 species